rnacentral:rRNA from 1 species
GACGAACGCUGGCGGCGUGCUUAACACAUGCAAGUCGAACGGAAAGGCCCUGCUUUUGUGGGGUGCUCGAGUGGCGAACGGGUGAGUAACACGUGAGUAACCUGCCCUUGACUUUGGGAUAACUUCAGGAAACUGGGGCUAAUACCGGAUAGGAGCUCCUGCUGCAUGGUGGGGGUUGGAAAGUUUCGGCGGUUGGGGGUGGACUCGCGGCUUAUCAGCUUGUUGGUGGGGUAGUGGCUUACCAAGGCUUUGACGGGUAGCCGGCCUGAGAGGGUGACCGGCCACAUUGGGACUGAGAUACGGCCCAGACUCCUACGGGAGGCAGCAGUGGGGAAUAUUGCACAAUGGGCGGAAGCCUGAUGCAGCAACGCCGCGUGCGGGAUGACGGCCUUUGGGUUGUAAACCGCUUUCGCCUGUGACGAAGCGUGAGUGACGGUAAUGGGUAAAGAAGCACCGGCUAACUACGUG